UAGAAAUAGCCGCCUGUUUAUCUCCCUCUCCCUCUCACGCUCUCUCUCUCGCAGAACCCACACUCCUCGCUCUUCGCUUGCAGAGAAGAAACCGAGUCUAAUCAGGAUGUCAAGAAAGCCAUCGGUAUGGGAGAUGGUAACAGGAUCGCCGGUUCUGGGCUCUGCCUACUAUAUACCGCCCAGUAUUGUAAUACUUCGGAGGAUACACUGUGUCGUUACAUGCCUCCUUGCCUCUGCAACGUUACACAUAAGCACUGUUUUGGAGACAUGGCCACUGACGAACUCUUCACAACGGUCUGCCUCAGUCCUUGUAAAACUCAUCAAAACAAUUUUACUGACCACUCUCCUCACGGUUUCUUCCGACUGUCCAAGCUUCUUGAGCCAUCAAACUUGACAGAGAUGUGUUUUCCAGCUGCGAUGGUCCCCCCUCAUUCAGACAUACUUAGGCUGUCAGAUGAAGCUUGUGUUUGAUGUUGAGACUGGAGGGUACACGGUAGGAGAGGAAUGGGCUUCCUUUGUUCGAGCAAAUGCUCUAAGGGCAGGAGAUACGGUUGUGUUUGUGAGUGUAUUGGGAUCCGCUAUCACACAUUUUGCGACAUCAAGAGCUCAUUCCCAGAGCUGGGUGCGCCACAGCAUCAACCUCGAUGCCUUUUCCAAGGCCAUAGGCAGUCUAAUGCAGUCAAAGCCUGUGGAGUUAACCUACUCCCCCACUGGAUCCAGAUUCAGACUUCUUGGUCUCUCCAAGGGUUUAUCGUGACAGUCUUCUCGUGGACUGGAUGUGCGGUAUGAGAGUGAAGAAGGUGCGAGAAUAUGAUGGAGAAAACCAUGUAGGGACAAUCACUUCCACCACCUUCGGCAACAGUGAUGUGCCUGGCGUGAUGAGAACUCUCUGGCUCUGUCAUACAGUUGUUUGGGAUGCGCCUUACGGGUUUGACAGGAUACACUUCUCUCCUUGGGAAGUUACUCCAUAUCAGGAGCAGCCACAGCGACAGCCACAACCACCACACGUCCUUCACCUCUUUCCCUGAUAUGACUGCCACUUAAAGAGAAAAAAGAAAAGCAUCAUAGGUUGUGCAGAAGUUGUGAAGCAGAGAAGAAGAAGACUAGUUACAGUUUACAAAGCUUUUACUUGAUAAUAAUAAUACAGGGACAUAUUGUGAACUGGCCUACAGUAUAUAAAGGACCCAUAUAACAUUUUAGUAAACAGUUUCUUUUAGGACUUUUAUUGUCUGGGAGAUUCAAGUGGGACUGAGUUUGUUUCAUUGGUUCUCGAUAAUCAUACAUCUGUCUUCUUAUCA